UACGGAGGGAGCUAGCGUUGUUCGGAAGUACUGGGCGUAAAGCGCACGUAGGCGGCGCCGCAAGUCAGGGGUGAAAUCCCGGGGCUCAACCCCGGAACUGCCUCUGAAACUGCAGUGCUAGAAUCUUGGAGAGGUCAGUGGAAUUCCGAGUGUAGAGGUGAAAUUCGUAGAUAUUCGGAAGAACACCAGUGGCGAAGGCGACUGACUGGACAAGUAUUGACGCUGAGGUGCGAAAGCGUGGGGAGCAAACAGG
rnacentral:rRNA from 1 species